rnacentral:rRNA from 1 species
CCCUUAGAUGUUCUGGGCCGCACGCGCGCUACACUGAUGCGUUCAACGAGUUUAGAACCUUGACUGAUAGGUCUGGGUAAUCUUUUGAAUGUGCAUCGUGAUUGGGAUAGAUGAUUGCAAUUUUUCAUCUUCAACGAGGAAUGCCUAGUAAACGCAAGUCAUCAGCUUGCAUUGAUUACGUCCCUGCCCUUUGUACACACCGCCCGUCGCUCCUACCGAUUGAAUGAUCCGAUGAAUAUCAUGGAUUGAGGAUGCAAGCAGGUUCGCCUGUCUUCAUCUUCGAGAAGUGAAGUAAAUCUUAUCAUUUAGAGGAAGGAGAAGUCGUAACA